AGAACGAACGCUGGCGGCAGGCUUAACACAUGCAAGUCGAACGCGUGUAGCAAUACACGAGUGGCGCACGGGUGAGUAACGCGUGGAUAUCUGCCUUUUGGUUCGGAAUAACCCCGGGAAACUGGGGCUAAUACCGGAUGGUUCCUUCGGGAUAAAGAUUUAUCGCCAAAAGAUGAGUCCGCGUACGAUUAGCUAGUUGGUGAGGUAAUGGCUCACCAAGGCGACGAUCGUUAGCUGGUCUGAGAGGACGAUCAGCCACACUGGGACUGAGACACGGCCCAGACUCCUACGGGAGGCAGCAGUGGGGAAUAUUGGACAAUGGGGGCAACCCUGAUCCAGCCAUGCCGCGUGAGUGAUGAAGGCCUUCGGGUUGUAAAGCUCUUUUGGCGGGACGAUGAUGACGGUACCCGCAGAAUAAGCCCCGGCUAACUUCGUGCCAGCAGCCGC
rnacentral:rRNA from 1 species